UACAGAGGGGGCAAGCGUUGUUCGGAAUUACUGGGCGUAAAGGGCGCGUAGGCGGCCUGCUAAGUCGAACGUGAAAUCCCUGGGCUCAACCCAGGAACUGCGUCCGAUACUGGUUGGCUUGAAUCCGGGAGAGGGACGUGGAAGUUCAGGUGUAGCGGUGAAAUGACGUAGAUAUCUGGAGGAACACCGGUGGCGAAGGCGACGUCCUGGACCGGCAUUGACGCUGAGGCGCGAAAGCCAGGGGAGCAAACGGGG
rnacentral:rRNA from 1 species